rnacentral:tRNA from 2 species
GUUAGGGUGGCAGAGCCUGGUAAUUGCAAAAGAUCUAAACCCUUUUAAGCAGAGGUUCAAAUCCUCUCCCUAACU